GUAGUUUACAAGUUUGUAAAAAAGUUAGCAGAAUUCAGUCCCGCCACUUUUUCUCUUAUUUCCCUCCAUUUUUCCCACGUCAAUGAUUCCCCUCCAUUUAAUUUAAAAAUAAAAACUGAAACUGCUCGGUUGUUCCACAAAAUCUGCCCCUCAUCUACUUGACCACCACGCAUGGUUCCAUCUUCCCCGUCAACGCCUCCACUCAUCACGAACCCCGCCGCCGCAAAGUUCACAUUCCUCCUUGACGCGCCAUCUCUCUGUCCACCUAGCAGAGUCGUCUGUUGCCGCCCUCUCUCCACGUAGCUACGCCGCGGGUGAGCCCUCUGCAUGUUGUUGCUGCAGAGGAACUUCGCCCUGUACUGGUAGAUCGUGCCUCCAGUGGAAGCGUGAUCGAGUACUCCACGGAGGCGAUGCAGCUCGUCGUCCCCAACCCAUUGACGUGCUCACCUACCUCGCAUGGAAGAUAUCUGAGUUCCCCGGGUGCCGCGCGAUUGGCUCCAUCACCAACCUUCACUCCUCCAAGUUCAGAUUCCUCAUCGCCGAGCACCUCGGUGUCAAAGCGCAGGACGUGCAGAUCUUCUCCCCAGUGGCCAAUUUAUUCUCUCUCCCCACAGAAGCGAAGGACCCUCCCCUGCAUUGUCGUCUCCUUUUCGCCCUCCUCUUCUCAGUAGGCCAACAAGUACACAUCUGCAUGGAGGCAGAUGCAAACCGAGGGGGUCGAGGUCAAGUCUAUUAGCUCAGAUAGAUGUAAGCAAUUUUGACGCAUUCUGAAAAAUAGCGUACUACAUAUCUAGCUUCAGGAUUUGAGGUAUUUUGCACUUUGUAUUAAACAUAAACAGCUCUGUUAUUGUUCUUGAUAUAUGUAUGGCCACAUAUGCUUCUGAAAUAUCAUGCAGUAUAAAUUUUAUUUUACUCAAGGACCAAACUUCAAGCUUUGAUAUUCUUUUUGUAAUUUUGUGUUCAACAAAAGUAGCUCAGUUCUUGAUAUAUCCAUGCAGAAUUGCAUACAUAUGCUUCUUAAAACAGUGUAAUCUGAAUCUUUUACUUAAGGACCUACCUUCAGACUUUGAGCAGUAUUCUGUAUUUAAUCUGUAAAAUAGUUUUGUCCUGGAAAUUCAAUAUUGAUAUAAUAAAAAAGUGAAGACACAAUACAAGCAAUUGUGCAACUCCUACUCUAACGCAUAAUACUUAGAUGCACUUUGGACAGCAAAGCAGCAUCUGUUAUUUCGAACACAUGGUGUGCUCCCCUGAUUUGUGUGCACCCUUUUCUUCUAUUAACAAGUGUAGGAUGCAAUUUGUAUGGUGGGCACAUGCAUGACAAGAAGGUAAACAUAACAGCAAUAGAUGUCUUCCGUUCCACCACAUACCAAGAACAGUGACUUCUGCAACUACCAAACAAGUGUUGGCACUAUAUUAUUUUAAAGAGCUUGGGAAAUCAAAACGAGAAUGUUGCUCUUGCUACACUCUAAAGUACCGACAAGAAUAUAAAAGUGAUGGUAUCAAACUUGGUAAUGAGUUCUGAGCAGUAUGAGUUUGAUGCUAUGUUAGCAAAAUAUGAUCUGUUGAUAUGACAACUAAAAAAGGAUUAAAAGUUAUUGGUCAGGCGAUAAAAUUAAUUAUCACAUGACCUUCAACCUUCGUAUGUUGCUCGUCUAAAUUUUACUGCUCUAUUAACUUGAUUUUAUCUAACGGCUCGUUACUGAUAUCAUUUCUCUAUUGUUGUAGAUUGCCAAGGUAAAUAAAUGAUGCAUGUCUCAUAUUAUCUGAAGGUCAAGAACGGGGUUACGUACUUCUAGAUAGCUUCACAUUACGUUUUGGAAUGUCGUUUCCAGAGUUGAUGUUUCAAACAUUAUGAUUUAGAAAGGCAGAGGUGUCAAUUGCAAGGCCAAGAAUCGAUAAUAGUUUAAGUCACGUAAUCUUUGGAGCGUGUUGUUUGUAAUGCAACAAAGCCGAUUUAAUA